UUGUCCCCUAGAAGUCUAGCUUUCUCUAAAGCUUAAAGGUUUAACUCGUUAAAUCCCACCUACCUGUCUUAUGUACUCUUCAGUUUCCGGUCUUGUACUUCUUUUAUUCGUUCACUUAGGAAGAAAGCAAACACAACAAAAAAGAAAUCAAGCCCUAACUUGGUACAGUAGCUAACAGAGCAUCUUAAAUCAACACACCAGCAUAACUUGUACUGAUUAAAGUAAUUAUUUUUGUCUCUAGCAUUUUGCAUUGUCUCUGCUACCAAAACUUCCUGAUACUCAGACACAGAACAAUGGGAGGCCCAGAUGUUUAUUGGUAUAAGGCUCAUCUUCAGCUUAUGAAAAGAAGACACAAUUUACAGUGCUGUCUCUUAGACCUCCAGUAUCACAUCCUUUCCUUUGACUACAUUAAAGUGGUAGCAGAAAGCAGAAAGACACACAACGGAGCAAGUUACCAGCCACCCCAGAGCUGGCAUUGGUAUUAGGUUACCAUUCUGCAUUUCUUUCCCCAUCUUCUACCUGUUUACAGGAAAGUUGGGACAAGGUCAGGGAAAGUGCGGAAUUGUUAUCAGCUUUGCUGAGGCCACACCUGAAUGAAAAGUUUGGUGCUGAAACAAGAUUGAACUUGAGUGUCAUUUGGAACUUAAAACAGCGAAUGUCACAGUAGAAAUCAGACUGACUCGUAGAGUUGUUUUAAAGGGGACCAAAGCCCAAUCUGAGCAAUUAAUUUUGGCUUGGCUGACAUCACUUGCCGGCCUAGAAUGCGCAGUUUUUGUGCUGCACCCUCCAGGGUGUGCCUGCAGAGCUGGGACUGGCCACAGCUGAGCAUCCUGGAAGUCAGCAGCUUUGGUCCCGGCCACACACGCUUUGGCAGAAUCCUAAUUGUUAUCACCCUGAUUCCCAUCUGAAACAGAUUGCUCCUGUUCUAGGAAACAAAUUCCAUACAGCAAAAGCUUGAGAGAGCAUAAUUAACCCAUAUCCUGUUCUGUCCCCUGUCCCUGGCGAUAUACAGAUCUUCUUUAACAUUUUGCUCAUAUUCUAGCUGCUGGCAUGCUGACUCGUUUAAUGAAAUUCAUAUCGGGUCUAAGGAGCUGUCAUUAGAUGAAAAUUAUUACUGAGCCUGCAAGCAACUCUCAGAUGACUUUGAGAAUCUCCAGAAUUAAUUAUGUUUAGAGACACUGCCAGCUACAUUGGGUCAAUCUGUUUCUUCUCAUUUCAAUUAAAUCG
rnacentral:lncRNA from 1 species